CCUACGGGGGGCUGCAGUGGGGAAUAUUUCACAAUGGGGGAAACCCUGAUGGAGCGACGCCGCGUGAGUGAAGAAGUCAUUCGUUAUGUAAAGCUCUAUCAUCAGGGAAGAAAAUGAAGGUACCUGAGUAAGAAGCCCCGGCUAACUACGUGCCAGCAGCCGCGGUAAUACGUAGGGGGCAAGCGUUAUCGGGAUUUACUGGGUGUAAAGGGAGCGUAGACGGCAGUGCAAGUCUGGAGUGAAAGGCGGGGGCUCAACCACCGGACUGCUCUGGAAACGGUACGGCUGGAGUGCAGGAGAGGUAAGGGGAAUUCAUAGUGUAGCGGUGAAAGGCGUAGAUAUUAGGAGGAACACCAGGGGCGAAGGCGGCGUACUGGACUGUAACGGACGUUGAGGCCCGAAAGCGUGGGGAGCAAACAGGAUUAGAUACCCGUGUGUC
rnacentral:rRNA from 1 species